AGGUGAUGGAUUUAGUUCACAUUGAAGCUAGCAUCCAUGGUUUUCCUCAUAGAUGCUAAACCUAGGUUUUAGAAAGGGUUAUGUUGCUUAAGAAUGGUUUAAAUGGAAACCAUUGAAGCUUAAGAGAAGGUUCAAUCCCAAAUUUGGAGCUCGAAACCAUGAUUUCUCUAUUGUUGCUAAACCUAGGGUUAGAUUUGGGGUUUUUGGAAAUAUAAGGGUUUGAUCUCUUUUGAAGGGUUAGAAACCUAAUUGCUAUGCUUAUAAACGCGUAGGCGAAGACGGUUCGUCGAUCCGACAAGUGGGUGCGAAGAUAUCGCCAUUUGUUGUGCUAAGGGGUUAGAGCUAACCCAACGAAAAUUUAAGCGGCGACAAGACUAGCGCAAGAGUGCGUCUCGGAGUGUUUUCGGCAUCACCCAAGGUACACUGGACAGCGGGCCUUCGGCGAUGGAUCGUGGUAAGGGCAUAGCGCCCUAGCUUUUGGUAGAUAGCCUACCUUACCUACUUGCAUUAGCUCUAUACCCUGUACUUUUGGUUAUGUUUUGAGAGUAGAUGUUGUAUAGGGUGAGGUUUUGGAGAGUUCAUGAUGUAUAUUCAUUUGAGAAAAGAAUGCAAGUUGUAUUAAAUGAUUAAAGUUUAAAAUGUUAUCGAAAGAGGUUAAAUGUUUCAA